UUGCUGAAGCUUACAUUAUGUAGAUUUCCUUUUGUUAAAAAAAACCCUAAAUUCCUCUGCACAUCUGUCAAAGUCGUCGUUUCUCAUAUUUCACUUCUGUCUCCCUCCUUAUUCUCUUCAAUCUCCGGCAAGCCUCCGUAACAACCAGCCUCCUUAAGCCGUUGCCACCAUCAAUGCCAAUGUCACACAUCGUUCACAGGUACCACUAACCCUAAUUUUCCUCCACCAUCGCCACCAGAAACACACACUAAACAAGAAAAAAGUCCCCAUUAUAAACCGAUUCUCACUUCCCCUUUCUCCCACACUACAAUUACACCAUCAGCCACCACCAUCCAUUUUCCUGCAUUGCACCACAUCUCCUACGACGAACCCCCAACACGAUCUGUUGUUAUUGGGUUAAAAGUCAACAAAUACCUUUGAAGGUGAAACCACUAAUUUGACAUGAGGAUCAAGUUGAAAGACUUCCCAGAAGUAUCAUUUGGGAUGCUUGUAAAAUCUAAAAGCCAAUUUAGGGAUCGAAUGUGUUUCAGGGCUUUUAAGGUUUACAACUAUAACAUCUGUUGACAAGGCUGAACAUGGCCUAGAAUGUCCAAGCUACCUCUACCCUCGCCAAGGAAUUCUCAGUUCAUAUGACCAUGCUUCGAUUCGACAUGGUCACCAAGUAUAGACACAAGUUGUUGUCAUUUUGCUCUUCACAUAGUUGUUGCCAAUGGCCCGAUUGUGAUGGGAAAUUCAAGAAUGACUUCAUGUUCUUACUUUAUUUUUUGUUUUCUCUUAAUGGAUAUGUUCAAGGUUUCAUACAAUGUGUGGAAUUUUGGUCAGAUUGUUUCUAUGCCGAGGGAUGCAUGGUAAAAAGUGAAGGUGCCCAAAAGAAGUCUUUCACAAAUCAAAGCAAGUGCAAAAUCGUUGUAUCACAUGGCCAUCAUUACUAAUUCAGGGACAUGGAGUUAUAAUUUUGAAAACAAAUGGAUCAAAGGUGCAGCUGGAUACUUUUUAGUAUGGGAUCAAUAGCAAAGAUCUUAGGUCAACCAUGUCGGUUUGCCAUAAAUAUAAUUACCUGUUGACAUGUGUACUACCCAUGACUCGGUUCAAAAAAAUUGAUAUCACUGAGGUUCAUUUUUGAACAGCCCAGUUGAAUACAUCGACAACAAUGACAUUGCAGCAAUGGAGUCAAUCGAGAGGAAAACAUGCAGUAACCUAAACAUCUCUGAUCAUGUUGAAACAACAGGGGGAUGUCAAACAGUUACUCGGACUUGACUAAGAAGUUUCAGGCAUUGAGCUAAACCUUAAUAUAAAUCUGAAUCACUAGGCCUUAUCUUCAUUUAAACUAUCUGAUUUUCACUAAAAAUGGCUUCUUCAACACUAGAUUCUCAAAGUUUAAGCAUGCGAAGUUGAAGUAAGAACACUAAACACUGACACCCAGAAGAAUUAUUGUGUACCAUUAUUGUAUAGGUUGAUUUUAAGCUUGGCAUUUGCUAGGUAAAGUAAAAAAAAAAAAUCUAACAAUAUUCUAUUUUCUAUGUCGAUUUUUUUGGUUGGUGUUUAAGCUACUGCCCAUGAUAUUCACUUUCAUUGAGAUCAUCCUGAUAUGCAUUGGGGUCAUGUGAUAAACUUAUGAAUAGGGAUUUUGAGAGCAUGAACCCAUGUCAGUUCUUGUAUGUCGUACACCAAAGACAAAGAAAUGUCAAGGCAGAAGCGUGAAGAUGAACAAAGAGUUUAUUGCCCAUAUAUUAAAAAAAGAUCUAAGUAUGUUGUUAUAAACAUAAGUUUUUACUUUCAUUACCCAAUAGUUUUGUUGGAUUUAUCCUUAUAUUAAAAACAAGUUUAUGAGGUAGCCGUUUUAGGUACGUUUUCCGAAUUUAUGUUGGUUGAUAAAUAAUAGUUGACAUUAAUUAUGUAAAUCAAAAUUGAGGAACUUCACUUAA